rnacentral:rRNA from 1 species
GAUGAACGCUGGCGGCGUGCCUAAUACAUGCAAGUCGAGCGAACGGACGAGAAGCUUGCUUUUCUGAUGUUAGCGGCGGACGGGUGAGUAACACGUGGAUAACCUACCUAUAAGACUGGGAUAACUUCGGGAAACCGGAGCUAAUACCGGAUAAUAUUUUGAACCGCAUGGUUCAAAAGUGAAAGACGGUCUUGCUGUCACUUAUAGAUGGAUCCGCGCUGCAUUAGCUAGUUGGUAAGGUAACGGCUUACCAAGGCAACGAUGCAUAGCCGACCUGAGAGGGUGAUCGGCCACACGGGAACUGAGAAACGGUCCAGACUCCUACGGGAGGCAGCAGUAGGGAAUCUUCCGCAAUGGGCGAAAGCCUGACGGAGCAACGCCGCGUGAGUGAUGAAGGUCUUCGGAUCGUAAAACUCUGUUAUUAGGGAAGAACAUAUGUGUAAGUAACUGUGCACAUCUUGACGGUACCUAAUCAGAAAGCCACGGCUAACUACGUG